rnacentral:rRNA from 1 species
AACGAACGCUGGCGGCAGGCUUAACGCAUGCAAGUCGAACGGGUGUAGCAAUACAUCAGUGGCAGACGGGUGAGUAACACGUGGGAACCUUCCUAGGGGUACGGAACAACUCAGGGAAACUUGAGCUAAUACCGUAUACGUCCGUGAGGAGAAAGAUUUAUCGCCCUUAGACGGGCCCGCGUCGGAUUAGCUAGUUGGUGGGGUAACGGCCUACCAAGGCGACGAUCCGUAGCUGAUCUUAGAGGAUGAUCAGCCACACUGGGACUGAGACACGGCCCAGACUCCUACGGGAGGCAGCAGUGGGGAAUCUUGGACAAUGGGCGCAAGCCUGAUCCAGCCAUGCCGCGUGAGUGAAGAAGGUCUUCGGAUUGUAAAGCUCUUUCGCCAGGGACGAUAAUGACGGUACCUGGAGAAUAAGCCCCGGCAAACUUCGUGCCAGCCGCCGCCGUAA